UCCGUAGGUGAACCUGCGGAAGGAUCAUUAGUGAAUCUAGGGUGUCCAAUUUAACUUGGAGCCCGAACUCUCACUUUCUAACCCUGUGCAUCUGUUAUUGGUUAGUAGCUCUUCGGAGUGAACUCCAUUCACUUACAAACACAAAGUCUAUGAAUGUAUACAAAAUUAUAACAAAACAAAACUUUCAACAAUGGAUCUCUUGGCUCUCGCAUCGAUGAAGAACGCAGCGAAAUGCGAUAAGUAAUGUGAAUUGCAGAAUUCAGUGAAUCAUCGAAUCUUUGAACGCACCUUGCGCUCCUUGGUAUUCCGAGGAGCAUGCCUGUUUGAGUGUCAUGAAACUCUCAAACCCAAGUUUUGGAUUUCGAUCCAUGCUUGAGUUUGGAUUUGGAUGUUUGCCGGUGAUAAGCCGACUCAUCUUAAAAGUAUUAGCUAGAUCUGUCUCUAUGACUGGUUUGACUUGGCAUAAUAAGUAUUUUGCUGAGGACAUCUUCGGAUGGCCAGGACCUAGACUAUUGUCUGCUAACUAAACCAUCACUUUAAGUGCAUCUUUGGAUGUUACUCAUUGUGUAACUUUGACAUCUGGCCUCAAAUCAGGUAGGACUACCCGCUGAACUUAAGCAUAUCAAUAAGCGGAGGAA
rnacentral:rRNA from 1 species